rnacentral:misc_RNA from 1 species
AUGUGAUCCAUUUUAUUAGCAAAACAUUUUAUGGGCUCAAUUUUUUCUUGAAAGAGAUGACGUAACAAGCAAAUUGCUACUAACAGAGGUCAUCUGCUUUCUCCAUGGAUCAAUUUCUUGGUAAAGGGAAAAAAGCAAGUAACUGAGUCGACAGGACAUCACAACGAUGCCAAGGAGCUCUCUGCCUGGACUGCCAUCCCUGUUGGACUGACC